CCUACGGGAGGCAGCAGUAGGGAAUCUUCCACAAUGGGCGAAAGCCUGAUGGAGCAACGCCGCGUGGGUGAAGAAGGUCUUCGGAUCGUAAAACCCUGUUGUUAGAGAAGAAAGUGCGUGAGAGUAACUGUUCACGUUUCGACGGUAUCUAACCAGAACGCCACGGCUAACUACGUGCCAGCAGCCGCGGUAAUACGUAGGUGGCAAGCGUUAUCCGGAUUUAUUGGGCGUAAAGGGAACGAAGGCGGUCUUUUAAGUCUGAUGUGAAAGCCUUCGGCUUAACCGGAGUAGUGCAUUGGAAACUGGGAGACGUGAGUGCAGAAGAGGAGAGUGGAACUCCAUGUGUAGCGGUGAAAUGCGUAGAUAUAUGGAAGAACACCAGUGGCGAAAGCGGCUCUCUGGUCUGUAACUGACGCUGAGGUUCGAAAGCGUGGGUAGCAAACAGGAUUAGAUACCCUGGUAGUC
rnacentral:rRNA from 1 species